rnacentral:lncRNA from 1 species
CUCUAAACAUCUAUACUUUGGACCUUUUUGUUGGAACAAAUACCGCAACAAAAAUCUGAUUGUAAUUAAAAUCUAACUAAUUUUGUAAUAAAGAUAAAAUCAAACUUACGGAUGACGCAAAUAUUCCAAUAAAGAUUUAAUCUUAUCCGGAAGCGUGCGAAGCACUGCCCUAAGAUGUAUUCCCGUCCUUACGUGCGGGAUUAACCGGAAAUAACACCCCAAGAUACAACCAGAAUUCCUCAUCCUGCGAGCACGAUCGUGAAGGAGGUUGACGGAGAUUCUCAACACCCAGU